rnacentral:rRNA from 1 species
AGAGUUUGAUCCUGGCUCAGGACGAACGCUGGCGGCGUGCUUAACACAUGCAAGUGGAGCGACGAACCCGGGCUUGCCCGGGGGCAGAGCCGCGAACGGGUGAGUAACACGUGGGUAACCUACCUAGAUGACCGGGACAACCCGAGGAAACUCGGGCUAAUACCGGAUGUGCUCCUUCCCUUCAAGGGGAAUGAGGAAAGAUAGCUUCGGCCUUCGCAUCUAGAUGGGCCCGCGGCCCAUUAGCUUGUUGGUGAGGUAACGGCUCACCAAGGUUUCGAUCGGUAGCUGGUCUGAGAGGACGAUCAGCCACACUGGGACUGAGACACGGCCCAGACUCCUACGGGAGGCAGCAGUGGGGAAUUUUCCGCAAUGGGCGAAAGCCUGACGGAGCAAUACCGCGUGAGGGAGGAAGGCUCUUGGGUUGUAAACCUCUUUUCUCAGGGAAGAAUGAUGACGGUACCUGAGGAAUAAGCAUCGGCUAACUCCGUGCCAGCAGCCGCGGUAAUACGGAGGAUGCAAGCGUUAUCCGGAAUGAUUGGGCGUAAAGCGUCCGCAGGUGGCAAUGUAAGUCUGCUGUCAAAGCGUCUGGCUCAACCAGAUAAAGGCAGUGGAAACUACAUAGCUAGAGUAAGGUAGGGGUAGAGGGAAUUCCUGGUGUAGCGGUGAAAUGCGUAGAGAUCAGGAAGAACACCGGUGGCGAAAGCGCUCUGCUGGACCUUAACUGACACUGAGGGACGAAAGCUAGGGGAGCGAAUGGGAUUAGAUACCCCCGUAGUCC